rnacentral:sRNA from 1 species
GCCAGGCGUGGUGGCGCAUGCCUGAAAUCCCAACGGCUCAGGAGGCUGAGGCAGGAGAAUUGUUGAGUUCAAAGCCAGCCUCAGCAAUUUAGCAAGAUCCUCAGGAACUUAAUGAGACCCUGCCUAAG